GAGUUGGCUUCCACAGCACAGAUGCAAAAACUAAAAUGAUAUAGAGAAAAUUAGUACUGCCCCAGAGUAAGGAUGACAUGCAAAUUUGUGAAUUGUUGCAUAUUUUU
ensembl:snRNA U6 U6 spliceosomal RNA